ACGGGGAGCACCACAACGGGUGGAGCUUGCGGUUAUUGGAUCAACGCCGGAAUCUACCGGGACCGACAGCAAUAUGAAGGCCAGGCUGAAGACUUUGCCGGAUUAGCUGAGAGGUGGUGCAUGGCCGUCGUCAGUUCGUACUGUGAAGCAUCCUGUUAAGUCAGGCAACGAGCGAGACCCACGCCCACAGUUGCCAGCGUACUCUCCGGAGUGACGGGUACACUGUGGGGACCGCCGCUGCUAAAGCGGAGGAAGGAAUGGGCAACGGUAGGUCAGUAUGCCCCGAAUAUCCCGGGCUACACGCGAGCUACAAUGGUUGGUACAAUGGGUAUCUACCCCGAAAGGGGACGGGAAUCUCCUAAAACCAAUCUUAGUUCGGAUUGAGGGCUGCAACUCGCCCUCAUGAAGCUGGAAUCCGUAGUAAUCGCGUUUCAACAGAACGCGGUGAAUACGUCCCUGCUCCUU
rnacentral:rRNA from 1 species